UGCAAACAUAACAGCCCAUAUUUCAAGUCUGUAAUGAUAACGGGGGGUGCCAUUCUAUCCACUAGCAACAACGGACUGUAGACUGCUACUCGGGGCAUGCAUAAAAGGAAGGCACUAAAGGUUGUUAUAAAUGGGAAAGCUUCAGGAGUUUUGAUGCUCGCCAGCUGUUGUGCAACGAAAUCCAACUCAUCCAUCUAUGGUAGAAUAUUCCAUGUUUUCCCUGGUGAGCCUUUUGUAUUGGGAAUAAAAAGGCCACUGAGCUUAGAAAGAUGGCUGGUGUAGAAAAUGUCCUUUUCAAGGUUAAUGUUCUACUAAGCAGAUGCCUGCACUGGAGAAACCCCUACCGAGAGGGCUGUAUCUAAUUCCCAGUUCUCCCAGAUGCAGAAGUUCACAGGCCAGGAGACCUGGCAGAGGAAAGUGCAUGUGUGCGCCUGGGAACGGACACUCUUCGAGAUCUCUAGGAAGCUGGGGCCAGUGAAGCAAGGCCAGAAGCUUAGGGUCACUGAUAAGACUCAACGAUGCCAGACCUGCCCUGCCAAGGGGAAGAACCCACUUGGGGAACAGUUGCUAUCCAUUUUGUGAUCAACAUCUGGCAAAAGUCUACGUGUGGAAGCCUGUUCAGUCAUUUCUGCCAGAAGCUGACACUUUUCCCGAUCAACAUCUGAGAUUCCUUAUAUGCUGAAGCAUCAUCGGAAUGCUCUCUCCUGCAUCCGCCGGGGAGAAAAAUCCUCCAUAGAGCACUAAAAACUUAGCCCAAUGCUAUA